rnacentral:rRNA from 1 species
AUUGAACGCUGGCGGCAUGCCUUACACAUGCAAGUCGAACGGCAGCACGGGAGCAAUCCUGGUGGCGAGUGGCGAACGGGUGAGUAAAGUAUCGGAACGUGCCCAGUCGUGGGGGAUAACGUAGCGAAAGUUACGCUAAUACCGCAUACGAUCUAUGGAUGAAAGCGGGGGAUCGCAAGACCUUGCGCGCUUGGAGCGGCCGAUAUCAGAUUAGGUAGUUGGUGGGGUAAAGGCUCACCAAGCCGACGAUUUGUAGCUGGUCUGAGAGGACGACCAGCCACACUGGGACUGAGACACGGCCCAGACUCCUACGGGAGGCAGCAGUGGGGAAUUUUGGACAAUGGGCGAAAGCCUGAUCCAGCCAUGCCGCGUGCAGGAUGAAGGCCUUCGGGUUGUAAACUGCUUUUGUACGGAACGAAAAGGUUUGGCCUAAUAAGCUGAGCUCAUGACGGUACCGUAAGAAUAAGCACCGGCUAACUACGUGCCAGCCGCCGCGGUAA